rnacentral:rRNA from 1 species
GAUGAACGCUGGCGGCGUGCCUAAUACAUGCAAGUCGAGCGAACAGACGAGGAGCUUGCUCCUCUGAUGUUAGCGGCGGACGGGUGAGUAACACGUGGAUAACCUACCUAUAAGACUGGGAUAACUUCGGGAAACCGGAGCUAAUACCGGAUAACAUGUUGAACCGCAUGGUUCAACAGUGAAAGACGGUCUUGCUGUCACUUAUAGAUGGAUCCGCGCCGCAUUAGCUAGUUGGUAAGGUAACGGCUUACCAAGGCAACGAUGCGUAGCCGACCUGAGAGGGUGAUCGGCCACACUGGAACUGAGACACGGUCCAGACUCCUACGGGAGGCAGCGGUAGGGAAUCUUCCGCAAUGGGCGAAAGCCUGACGGAGCAACGCCGCGUGAGUGAAGAAGGUCUUCGGAUCGUAAAACUCUGUUAUUAGGGAAGAACAAAUGUGUAAGUAACUAUGCACGUCUUGACGGUACCUAAUCAGAAAGCCACGGCUAACUACGUG